GAUUGCAAGCAUUUGAACUGAAAAAUUCCAUGAUCCUUAACAAGGAUAACAUAGAAGAAAUGGGAAAGCCCACACAGGUUCCUCCUCCUCUCUGUGUACCACUAAGCCCUGCAAACUGCAGCCUUGAAGUGACUCUGCGUUCUGCAAUGAAGAACACAACAUCUAGACCAAUUGUGCAGCAUUGCUGACAGUGGUAUCGAAGGAGGAAGUGGAGGAAAGUGGAAUUUUGGUUUCAAAGGAUGGAAUAUGUCGAUUCACAUACAAUGCUGAUUUGGAAUCAAGUUCCAAUGCUUUUCCUAUAAUACCUCUAGAAUGCAUUCUUCCCACUCUUUUUCCAGAGUUGGAGAGAAGAUUCAGUAUAUCCUAUGUGCUAUGGUUUCUGGGAAGGCAUUCUAGUUGGAUUGCAACAAAGCAAUAUUAAAGAAUCCUACUGUGGAAGCAAGCCAAAAUUUAACUACUUUAGAUUGCUAAUGUCAACAGAAAUAAAUCAUGUUAACCAUGGUGACAGAUCA